AGAACUCCGGUUUCUGGCGGAGGUAGCGCCGUUCGGGUCGGUGAUAGGGAAGGGCGGUAAGGUGGUGGAGAAGAUUAGGAAAGAGACUGAUUGUAAAAUUAGGGUUUUGAUUGAGAAAUUGCCGGCUUGUGCAGUUUCUAUGGACGAGAUGGUCGAGGUGGUCAUUGAUUGGGCCGGGAGAUACCUUCAUCAGAUGGAAAGGCCAUUAGAUGUGCUAUUCAAACAGACGCUGGUGAAUAAAGGGCAACGGAGUUGAUCCCCUGCAGACGGUGGCAGGCCAGUGACGGGCGGCAGCAGGUGGCCGGCGGCAGGAGUUUGGCGGCGAGAUUCCAGCGAUGGUGGUUGGAUAGGUAUGGACAUGUGGCAUAGUAUGCUUGCCUUAAAAGGAGUGGCAUUGUGUAUAAUUUUGAUAUUUUUUAAUGAUAUUUUUGUAAAUUAGGUACCACA